rfam:Cricetulus griseus cell line CHO-K1, whole genome shotgun sequence.
UGGCUCAGUGGUUAAGAGCACUGAAUGCUCCUCCAGAGGUCCUGGGUUCAAUUCCCAG